rnacentral:lncRNA from 10 species
AUGAGUUGGUCUCAGGCCCUCUAUGUUCUUUGUAAAUAACCGCACAGGUGUCUUCAGCCUCAGCCUCUUGGUGCUGCCUACCACCUUAGUAAUUCAAGGAAUUGAAGCUGGUUUUUUUUUUUGGUUGGUUGUAGAAUCUCAGCUGUGCAGAGCUUGCAUUUAUAUAUGAUUAAAACCAACUAGUAUUUGAGAGCAUGUGGGUUAGUUAGGAAGAGCUGCUCCCAGAUGGCUCACACCUGAUUCUUUGAGUUUCUGCUAAGAAAUGGGUCCAUGUGGCUUUAAGCACCAAGAAGUGCCAAUGCAAAGUCCACUGUUGAGUGAGUGAGCGAGAGAACACUUACACAAACAAAUGCAAAGACACAUACGCACCUGCACACACAUGCACACAAUAUGCACACACAUGCACAUAACAUGACAUGCAUACACACAUGCACACAAUAUGCACACACAUGCACACAACAUGGCAUGCACACACACAUGCACACACAUGCACACAAUAUGUACACACAUGCACACAACAUGGCAUGCACGCACGCACACACAAUAUGUACACACAUGCACACAUGACAUGCACACACAGGCACACAAUAUGUACACACAUGCACACAUGACAUGAACACAGGCACACAUGCACAUAAUAUGUACACACAUGCACACAACAUGACAUGCACACACAUGCACACACAUGCACACAAUAUGUAACACAUGAACACAACAU